UUUUUUCUGAAACUAGGGGCAAGGAGAUGAAGUGAAUGAGGAAGUUAAACUUUAAAAUGAAGAACAAAGAACAGGGGAGGUGAAUAUACUGAUACAUUGGUUCCUUGCAGAGGAUCUCCGAACUCAUUGUAUUUUACAAUUUACAGGCUAAAACCUUUGAAGAGGAAUUUAUUAUAUCCUACACAAUUAUCUGCACAUGGAAAAGCACCACCAUGAGAAUAAAAAAUCAGGGGCCAUGCAGCAUGAAGAGUCUGCACCAGGAGGAAGAAAAGUACAGUAACUGGAAAACAUUACAUUGAUGUCAGUGCUGCCCUGUCAAUAGUAGAGAAGAAAGCCAUGCUGGGCUUAGCCAGUGCCUGUGCGUGGAGGGAACGUUUGGACCAGAGCUAGCCAUAAAAGAAUCACCCAUCCUACUGGUCAGAACUCGAGUUUCUUGGCAAGCCACACUGAGAGGACUUUUGGAAACUAUAUAAAGACAUGGCAACUUAAACAUAUGCUCCUGAAUGACUACCGGAUCAGUGAAGAAAUUAAAAAGGACAUUUUUAAACAAAUGAGAAUGAUAUUUGGGACAACCAGCAUAGUCAAAGUUAUCCUGAGCAAAACAAGCAAAACUGGAAGAAUUACAUUGCUUGACUUCAAAUUAUACUACAGAGCUAUAAUAAGCAAAACAGCAUGGUCCUGGCAUAAAAGCAG
rnacentral:lncRNA from 1 species